CACACAUAUCAUCAUGCCAUAGGUGAUCAUCAUCAUAUCACACAUAUCAUCAUGCCAUAGGUGAUCAUCAUCAUAUCUCACACAUAUCAUCAUGCCAUAGGUGAUCAUCAUCAUAUCACAUAUAUCAUCAUGCCAUAGGUGAUCAUCAUCAUAUCUCAAACAUAUUAUCAUCAUGCCAUAGGUGAUCAUCAUCAUAUCUCAAACAUAUUAUCAUCAUAUCAUAUAUGCAUGAUUCAAUUUCCACUUUUAUCUUUCAAUUCGAUCACCACAUCUCUCUUUCCCGGGAUCAGUAAUUGCAUCCCAUACUUUAUCACUCGCACCCCAACCUGGCAUCGUGAGAAAACCUCCGGCAUACACCACCGGGCAU
rnacentral:lncRNA from 1 species